AAACACUGUUAGGGGUGCUCCGAAAUAAACGGGGCUGAGAACAUACCCUUGAACCUGACAUGUAUAAUAACAGCGUAGGGAAACAGUAGUUUGAGUGA
rnacentral:ncRNA from 2 species